rnacentral:rRNA from 1 species
UACGGAGGGGGCUAGCGUUAUUCGGAUUCACUGGGCGUAAAGCGUCUGUAGGUGGUUUAAUAAGUCAACUGUUAAAUCUUGAGGCUCAACCUCAAAAUCGCAGUCGAAACUAUUAGGCUAGAGUAUAGUAGGGGUAAAGGGAAUUUCCAGUGGAGCGGUGAAAUGCGUAGAGAUUGGAAAGAACACCGAUGGCGAAGGCACUUUACUGGGCUAUUACUAACACUCAGAGACGAAAGCUAGGGUAGCAAAUGGG